UCAUUUAGUGAUGACCCACCAGGUACCAGGUCCCCUGUAUUCCGUGGUUUGAUUAGAGAGGGCCAUCUGAAGGCUGCCAGCGCACGUGAACAUGAUGUUGCUCUCACCUGGGAACUAUCAAGAAAACCUGAACUAGAGCCUCUCCGUGCCCAUGCCAACCCGGAAGCACUUGCCGAGGCCCCGCCCUGCCCGCCCUCUGCUCUGGCGCUUCCUCUGGGUGGUGGCGGCCACUGUUUGCUUUCGACCGCGGAACUACGCCGGUGGGUUCGUGCAUCUGUACGGACAGCGGAAAUGUUUGACAGGAUGACAGAGCUUGCUGCAGCAGAAACCCUCAGGGAAGAUGGCCGAAUGAAAAUUCAGAUGCAUGGGGGAUCUUCAGACCUCCACAGGGCUGCAUGACCACACAGGGACAACCCAGGACCAGCAGGAGCUGUAGGGAGCACAGAGGCUGACUUAGCAGAAAGAAGAACUUUCAUACUGACUCCCCUGAUGGGAGAGGAUUGCCCCAUCACAGCAAGUGGGCACAGACCUGAUGACUGUCUGGCAGGAAUUUUACAGAGCAGAUUCAUGCCAGGACUGGACUGUUGACUCCAAAGUCCCUACCAGCCCUGGAACAUGAAGUGACACCAGCUAGAGAUGCCUGGGUUUACCUGAGAGCAAGGUGGUCAGUGCACUGUUUUGGUUCAGGACGUAGGUCCUCCGGGUUGACCUGCCCCCUCCCCAAGAGCUGG
rnacentral:lncRNA from 1 species